GGCAGAGAGCCAGAGCCUGGACCAGGCCUGCUCCCUGCCUUGUUUAGCCUCCGCUGGAAAUGGAAUUCCUGGGUUAGGAAGUUUGGGAUGGGGCCCACUGGCCUUCUAUGCAGAGGGGUGAGAAACUCCCACUCUCUGCUUCCCUCCAGAUAGCUGCAACAGACACCAGGACCAAGAAGGAGAGGAGAGUUGAGACUGUAAGAAGAAGUUGGUUCCAGCCUCUACUUAAAGGAUGAUCCAUAUUCUGUGGACAGCCAGUUGACUGUCUGAAUAUCUUUUCAUUUCCCACCAGGCCUAGCACGGUGCCAUGAAGGAAGAGGAAACUGGACACACAAAGGACUAUGGAUAUGCACACACAAAGGGAAGACCAUGUGAAGAGGCAGCAAAAAAGCAGCAUCUGAAAGCCAAGGAGAAAGACUGCAGAAGAUAUCAAUCCCACCAACACUUUGAACUUGGACUUGAAGUUUUUAGAACUGUGUGAAAGUACACUUCUGUUGUCUAAGCCAUUUAGUUUGCAGGGUUUUUUUUUUUUUUUUUG